rnacentral:lncRNA from 1 species
CGAUGCAUCAGGAUCCUUCAUUGGUGGCGUCAGCUCACCACUUCUCAGGUCCUCAGGGCACUUCCAUCAGGGGAGAAAUAAUCUCGGUCCUCCUCCUUCAGUAUGGAAGGAAACUGAACAAAAGAGUUAACUUUAUAUUGGCAAGUGCAGAUUCGCUAAAAACAGCAUGGGAGGUACCUAUGAAGAACUCAUACUCGUGAGGGAGAGGAAGACUGACGACUGUCCUAAUGCACUUUGUCACCCGGAGUUCAAAACACAAGGACUGGUCGUGGAUCUGUCUUUGCUGCAAUGACCUGGGGCUAUAGUUAUUUCAAAUGAACAUUGUUUUCACAGAAAACAAAAAAAAUAAGGAAACACACGGCAUUUUAAGGUCUAUGAUUAUAAAAUAUUUGAAGCACUUAGAAAACCGGAACCCUGUUUAAAGGAAUUUUGAAGUUUGGGUAAAAGACAUCGUUUAGAGUCAUCUGAGGAAGUGCAGCUCUCAGUGAUGGUUUGAAUAAGAGUGGCCCUCAUAAGCUCUCAGGUUUGAAUGCUUGCUCCUUAGGAAGUGAGUGGCACUACCUGACAGAAUUGAUAGGUGUAGCCUUGUUGGUGGACUUGUCUUACACGCGUUCUCGAGACUGGCCAGGAAGAACGCAACAAACCAGAAUCUUCUGCGGCAAAACUUUAUUGCUUACAUCUUCAGGAGCAAGAGUGCAAGAGCAAGAGCGCAAGAGCUUUAUUGCUUACAUCUUCAGGAGCAAGAAGCAAGAGAGCAAUAGUGCAAGAGUGCAAGAGAGAGAGAGAGCAAGAGAGAGAAAAAGAACAAGAAAGCAAGAGAGCAAGAAAGCAAGAACAAGAAAGCAAGAGUGCAAGAGAGCAAGAGCAAGAGUGCAAGAGCAAGAAAAAGAACAAGAACAAGAAAGCAAGAGCGCAAGAGAAAGAAUGGCAAAACCCCGUUCCUUUUAAGGAGAAUUAUCCUCCGCCUAGGAGAAAAUGGAUCAUAUCCGUGCUUAUAGCUUGCAAAUAACACAUUUACAAGCACUUCAUUUAUUGGAAGCAGGCUUUGAUAUUGGGGUACUCUAGUUUCUUGAGACAGAUAUGAAUUUCUUUAAUGGGAGACUACAGAUAAGGAGAUAAUAGAGAAUCCAGAAAAGCACCAAUCUGAGGCUUGGUUAAUUACAUGCAUCUCCAAUGUUAUUCAAGUAUGCUCUGCUCAAGCUGGGAUAAUGAGAGUUCUCAAGCUACAUUUCUGGAAGUGUUCUCAACCUAGAACUUCUGUGAAGACAACCAUGAGACAGACAUUAUUUCAGGACAUGAAGAAUCCCAGAACGUAAUAAAGGGAUGAUGUCUUUUCUCCAGUGUAUGCCUUGUCACCUACCAGCUCACUGACAGAGAAAUCGGAGGACUUUCAAAUUUAUAAAUUUCACGAGUUUAUGGAGCUUAGAGGUAAAAUCAAGGAAAACAAUGCAUGUUCCUAUAGAGAGCGCCUCAUGGAAACAAGGGAUACUUCUUUAGUCACAUGGGAUUACAUUUUCACCUGGAAGAACCAUUUUUUUCCUCUCUGUCUGUUUCAGGAGGAAGCCACGAGCUUUUUUAUUCACAAAAAGAGAGAGGAGGCAGAAGUGACUUCAGAGUGCACAUGGAGAGGACAGAGACAAGGACCCAGGACGUACAACUGGACGACAGUCAGCUGACAAAGAUGUCCUUGGACUAUGAUCCUCUGGAUCAGUUGUGAAAAGCCUUUGAUAACACUCUCCAAAUCUCUACAUUGGACAGGAGACAUUCAGAACAAUGAAGUUUGUACACAUUACUUCAGUUCUCUGAAGAGGACCUUGCUCCUGGAACACCAAUCUGUAGUUCUCUUCUCGGCUCUGCUUCGGAUUUGGAAAUCACAAACGUAUGCUUUCCAACGGAAAAGAAGCCUGACUGAUAAACUUUGAGGACUGACAACAUAUGUGUCCACCCCUGCCUCUGACAGGCAUCCAGUGAUGUUACCCAAUUCCAGAAGAAACUAGAAUAACCGUCCG